AAUGAAUAACUGGAAAAUUAUGAAUGGGAAUGAGUGGAAAUGAAAUGAUUGAGUGGCUUGUUGAAUGUUUGUUGAAUGAGAUGUGUGAAUGUGAGUAUGUGAAAAUAAAAUCUGGUCCAAGACAAAUCUUGUGACGUCAUUAAAUAAAAAAAAGAGAAGUAAUCAUUGUUUUUUUUUUCUCAUUUAGUGUUAGUAAAUUAGUUCUAAGUUAUUUUGUCAACGAAUGUUGACAGGAAAAUAAUUAAUUUAGGUCUUGUUCAGUGGGUUCUGUGAGUGGCCAAAUGCGAGCUUUUCUGACGAAAUAUGGUUUUGUAAAUUCGAGCAUCUCAAUUGCAGUUUGUAGAUCACAAUUUAAUAAUUCUAAUUAAUCCUCGGGACAAAUCACCUGUCCAGAUCAUGGCGACAUAGAAGUACGUAUUCAACUAGAUAGUGAGCCUCACUAUUUCAAAUUCACGUAAUUAAGAGCAACAGCACUUGACGCUCAGGAACAAUCAUUGCUUUCAAUUAAAUUGAAUUUGAAAUAGCAGAGAACUACUAGUUGAAUAGGUCUUCAUAGUUGACCAAAUCUCGACACGCAGAUCCCUCUACCUAAAAGAAAGACCUUGGAAGCUCCGGCUCUUUUCCUUCAAGCGACCAGAAAGGAUUGCUAUAUUUCUGUUCAUAGCAGGCUCACUCUUCCAAAUUCAAGUGAUUUUGAGGAACAGCACUUGCCGCAAAGGAACAAUCAUUGCUCCAAAUCAAUAUGAAUUUCGAAGAGAAGAGAACUAUGUACAGAAUAAACGGCAGUUUUAUCCACAUAGUAGCUCGAAGAAAAAAAAAUCGGAUAUUGUAAGUUUUGACAAAGACAACUUCCGCGACAACCAGGCUCACUCUUCCAAUUUUAUAUGAUUCCUCGGAACAGCACUUGCCGUCCAGGAUCAAUCAUUGCGAAGAAUCAACUAAAAUUGGCAGAGCAGAGAGUUGUGUAGCGAAACUUAUAGUUGGACGCCUGGGAAUCCUAUAGUCGGAGGCAGAGAACAAAAACCGGAUUCAAGCAAAAGCAGGCUCAUUCUUCCAAAUUUAGAUGAUUUCGAGAAACAGCACUUGCCGCAUAGGAUCAAUCAUUGCUCCAAAUCAAUUAAAUCUGGAAGAAGAGAGAACUUUUGCUUGAACUUUUUUUACGUAAUCCGGUCACUCGAUUGUAGAGGACCUCAUCAUAAAAAAAACUUUGUUUUUUUUUACACCCGAUCCGGGAUAAUUGUUACCUAUGUGAUAGGUCACAAUCAUGCAUUUGCCUUUUUUGUAUUUUUCUUUUUUCGUUUUGUUAUAUUUUUUUCUUUUUUUGUAAAUAUUUAUACUUUGUUUAUAUUUUCCUAAUUUUGUAAAUACUCGUAAAUUGGUAAAUAAUUAUGCUUUAACCCUAGUUUAAAUGUAAAUAACCUAAUAUGUAAAUAUAAUCCUUUUUCCUCUAUCCUUCGAUACCAGUUACCCAUAAUUAAAUGAGUUAAAUAGAAAAAUGUAAUGAAUUUGUAAAUAAAAAAAUAAAUUAAAUUUGAAUUUGAAAUCCUUCCAAAUAAACCCCUGGUAUCCCACCAUCAAAAUCCUUCCCAACCAUAUAUGCACUGAUGCAUCAUGGCGCCCACUACCAACUGUGCGAAGACAAAUCCCUCCCGGGAAAUGUUCUACGAUUUGGUUUUGCUGCAUCAUCAAGUCCUAUAAAAAGGAUAUGCAGGCCCAGGAAAUGAUCUUUUUCGGUACAAAAUUUUAAGUGAAUCGCGAGUGGAAGACAUCUGUACCCCACCGCAGCUCAAAAUCGGAAGUGAUAGUGUCAAGUGCCCUACUAGUGAUCCUGGUGAACUACUUGGGACGACCGAACCGGACGAAGCUUUUUUGAAGAUAUCCCAGAGACGUGAAGCGCCCACCACGACCACCAACGGCCGGACAUUUGGUAUAGCCGUCGGCAAGGAAACCAGAUCACUCGCCGCCCACCGAUCGAGCCGAAAAUCCCUCCACAAACGAUUAACCGCAGGUGACGUUUCAAAGUGCAUUCCUUCAAUAAUUUCCUAAAUCCUAAUCCUAAAUUAAUAAAUUAUAUGUAAAU